rnacentral:rRNA from 1 species
AAUAUUGCACAAUGGGCGAAAGCCUGAUGCAGCAACGCCGCGUGAGUGAUGAAGGCCGUCGGGUCGUAAAGCUCAUUGAUUAGGGAUGAAAAUGACAGUACUUGAAAAAAAAGUCACGGCUAACUACGUUCGAGCCGCCGCGGCAGUACGUAGGUGGCGAGCGUUGUCCGGAAUUAUUGGGCGUAAAGGAGGCGUAGGUGGAUACUUAAGUGGGAUGUGAAAUCCCCGGGCUCAACCCGGGAACUGCAUUCCAAACUGGGUAUCUAGAGUGCAGGAGAGGAAAGCGGAAUUCCUAGUGUAGCGGUGAAAUGCGUAGAUAUUAGGAGGAAAACCAGUGGCGAAGGCGGCUUUCUGGACUGUAACUGACACUGAGGCAUGAAAGCGCGGGUAGCAAACAGG